CCCUUAGAUGCUCUGGGCCGCACGCGCGCUACACUGGUCGAUGCAACGAGUUUCUUUCCUUGGCCGACAGGCCUGGGCAAUCUUUGAACAUCGAUCGUGAUCGGGAUAGAUUCUUGUAAUUUUUGAUCUUAAACGAGGAAUUCCUAGUAAACGCAAGUCAUCAGCUUGCAUUGAUUACGUCCCUGCCCUUUGUACACACCGCCCGUCGCACCUACCGAUUGAAUGGUCCGGUGAGAUCCUCGGACUGCGAUGACGCUCUGGCAACAGAGUUAAUUGCGGAAAGUUGAUCAAACCUUACCAUUUAGAGGAAGGUGAAGUCGUAACA
rnacentral:rRNA from 1 species